rnacentral:ncRNA from 2 species
GAUCGACACUAGGGGAGCCGCAAGGCUGAGAUGAAUCGAAAGAUUCGGACCCUUUGAACCUGAACGGGUUAAGACCUGCGUAGGGAAGUGGAGAGUAAAGCAU